rnacentral:lncRNA from 1 species
GUCUGAAGUCUUAAAUCUAAUUAGAAAAUUUGAGUUUCAAAUCUCAAAAAUAUCCUUAACAAUUCAUUUAUUUUUUAUAUUACGUAUUUAUAUUAUCCUUGAAGUUAUUUUUUUAAUUGCUUUAAAUUUUUAUGCACACGGUAACAUUAAUUAAAGCAAAAUAUUGAACAAAUAAGAUUAUAUGCAUUACGAUGUAUCAAAACUAAAACAACAUUGUUAACUUCAAAUUGAAAGUUGAUGUUAUAAUUAUAUUUUUAAUUACAAAAUUAAAUUAAGAAACUAAGAAACAAUGAUAAUAUUAUUUUUUAAUGCUACCAAAUUAAUCAACUUGUUAAAUUUCUAAAUUGUGAAGAACAAAUACAUGCACCACUUAAAAAGUAUAUUUAUGUUAAAUUACUAGCUUUUUAAAAUUUUCUAUUCAGAUAUUGAACAAAGAAAAACAAACAUAUCAUUUAAACAUUUUCUUUCAAAUUUAUUCAAACUUCAGUUAAAUUUAGAAUUAUUCAGAUUUCAGACAAAAAAACAAACGCAACCUAAAUAGUGUCAUUUUAUCAAAUAAUAAAUCAAUAUAAGAAGAUUAUGAGAAUGGGCUAUAGUUGGAUUGUGACAUAUGUCAAAUUAAAUUUUGUACAUACAUUGUAUAGAGUAGUAAUGAAGAAGAGUAAGCAUUUUGUGCUAUUAAUAUUUAGUAAUUGACAUAAUUACUGCCACAGUUCUGUAGACAUCACUUGAUGCAUGCAUGCUAGUAUCACAUAUUGUAUUGUAUUGUAUUGCUGUAAGGCAAAUUAGUAAACGUCAAGUUACCAAAUCAACAAACGAGAUCCUGUAAGCAUUGCCAAGGCAGUAGUAUACCCAUUGAAAGUAAGCACUCUUUGUCCAUCAUUAUUAAUAAGACUUGUUUCACCUUCGUUAAUGUACCUCCACACAUUGAAGUCCCCUGCACAAUUAACACAAUUGCUCAAAAUUAAUUAUAAUGAACAAAAAUGCACCAAAAGCUUUCCUUAUGUCCUUAACAGUUGCCUUGUUGUAGAAAUUGAAGUUCGAUAACAACUUUUCAACACAAUCAAGCAUGACAUGUGUUUCCUCAAAGCAAGGUCCAUUGCAGAAUAAAUAACUGGCUCCGCGAGGCACACAACCAGCUAUUUAAAUCUGUGAAAACAAAAUCAUGAGAGCAAAUAGCAAUUAAUAACAUAUUUAAGCAAAUUAAAGAACAAGAUCAAGAGAUUAAUUAUCAUUCACAAAUCUAUCAUUGAAACAUAAAUAGGCUUUGGCAAAUGCUUCCGCCGGGUUGUUGGCUGUGUUUGGGAGGGAUACUGUUUGGGACAAAUGCGUCGAAGGGACCAGGAAUGACGAGCAGACAUCUGAUGGCGGAGUUCUGCGAACCGGUGUGUUCCGUUAAAGCCUGGCGCGUGGAAGAACAGGAGCAGAAACAUCCUGCUCGUCCACGAUGUUGUCGUCCGCGAGGCCAAUUCCUAUAAAAGGCAUGAGGCCAUUCCGGCUAGAGAUCGAGAGGCGAGGAGACCCGGUCGACGGCAGUUGGCAAGACGUGCUCUCCAGCACGAGAAUCUAGGCACAACAGCCACGCUUUCCCCAGAACCGCGACGUAACACGCAAGAUCUCACAGAGCCAUGACAGCCACACUUUCCCCAGAACCGUGGCGUAACACGCAAGGUCUCACAGAGCCGUGGCAGCCACGCUUUCCCCUGAACCGUGGCGUAACACGCUAGAUCCCAUGUUUUGCCCAUAACGCAGCAGUUGGAGUCCCAUACCGUCUCGAAAAGAGCGGAAGACUGUGAUUCAGAGGAAGCCUAUAAAAAGGUAGCCAACGAAGGUAAAAGGGUUGGCAUUCUUGAGAAAAGGGGAGAAAACCACAAGAAACGCCAUAAGACCUGUGGCAAGCUUUUCCCGAACCUUCAUAUCUGACUUGAGCGUCGGAGGGUUUGCGCCGGGAAAACAACCGGCAUACUCUGACUUAUCUGUGUACGCAGGGACCUCCGGGGAAGAAGCCUGACGAGGAGACCUCCUGGUCGUGACGAAGUUGAUCGAGCAGAGAUCCUGAUCGUAGAACGAGGAGAACCGGAAUCUCGCAUCAACAUUUUGGCGCCGUCUGUGGGGAUCCAGAGCAAAAAGCUUCUGUCGAUAGCAAGAAGAGGGGUGGAGUAAGCGAAAGGCAAUGGAGAUAGGAGGAAGUAGCGCACAAGGGGGUGACAUAAGGCUUAACGAUUCCGUGACGCUGAGGGAGGUAAUCAGCGAAGCACGGGAAAAAGUCAUGUUCGACCGGAUGGAGCGAAUGGAAAAGCAGAUGGAAACCUUGACAACCAUCCUGCAUGAGCUGCGGAACGAGCGAAGGGUAACCCAAGAGGGAAGGGUGAGAGGCGGUGGAGCGGCACCAGGUACCGAUAGUGCGGAGAGAAGUCAAACCGCUGGGAGAUUUGGUGGUGAGAGAGGUAACGUACCUCUGCGGGGAGAAUUUCAUAGAGAAAGAGAGCAGUCCCCGGUAAGACAGACUUGUGACGGGGGCGACGGGGUGGUGAAUGCAGAGGAAACAGAACUGAGGCAACACUUACAUGAUGUAGAGCGAGAGCGGGAUCAAGCUGCAGCGCGCGACCCUGGUCGCGCAGGACAGCUGGAGGAGGAAGUGCGAAGGCUAGCGCAAAUAAUUGAUGACAUGCAAGGGAGGAACAGAGCCCCUGGUUGGAGGAUAAUGCUGGACGGGGAAUCACCGCUCGCAGCAGAGAUCAUGAGGGCAGUUAUUCCGAGAGAUUUCCGCCUCCCCGACCUCAGAUACUCGGGAAGAACUGACCCGCUGAUGCACAUGGAGCGCUUCAACGACAUAACGGGGGUACAGGGAUUAUCUCCAUCCCAAAGGUGCAGGGUGUUCCCACUAUCCCUUGAGGGACGUGCACGAGAAUGGUACAGGAAACUUCCUCGGGGCAGCAUAAAAACCUUCGAGCAGAUGUGCCAGGAAUUCGCAGAGCAGUUUAGUGGGGCAAUGUCACCGGAAGAUGACAUGAUGGAGCUGAAGAGCAUGAAACAGGGGGAGCAAGAAACCCUUCGGGAAUUCAUCAAGAGGUUUCAUCGGGCUGUCCUCGACUUGGGAGCCUUCAACCACCCUCAGGCGUUAAGGGGACUGAAAGAAGGGGUGAAGAUAGGAAGGCUGUGGUACAAUUUGAGAAGCCCAGCUAUUCAAACGUAUGCAGCCGCAUACGAACAGGCUAAAAGAGACAUCGAGAUUGAGGAGGAGAAGGCUGCACGGAUCAAGACAGACCAGUUGGAAGGGUUAGGGAGGAGAGAGAAGAAAGCAUUACCAACUAAUGGGCCGAUCAGGAGGAGGGACCACCAGAUCUCCGGUAGUGGAGCAGGAGGUAGGGUAAUUGCUUACCAGCCUCAUCAGAGGCCGCCACAGUAUCAGCGCAGCAGGGCGCCACCUCCUCGUUCCCCAGCUAGGGAGCCUUGGAGAAGACAUGAUCCGGCAUCCGGCGAUCUUCAUCAACAUUCCCACGGUAGCAGGACGAGCAGACCAGAAGCACUCCCACCGCCCCCAACUCACAGUGGGGCAAACAGAGAAAGAGCAGUGCAUCUGGUCGACCAGAACCAGGACUAUGGGCGGUACACUCCCUUGAAGAUGCCCCUGGAUGAGGUGUACGAGGCCAUAAAGGGUCGAGGGCUGCUGCACUCCCUACACCAAUAACAAAGCUACCCAACAGGAGGGAUAGAGGACGUUAUUGUAAGUUCCAUGGCACCCAUGGCCAUACCACAGCAGAGUGUAGAGAUCUCAAGACCCAGGUCGAAGAUUUGGUGAGAAAUCGGUACCUGGACGAGUUUAUGGAUGGGACUUUCCCGAUGGUGGCCACAACGGAUGAAGGGGAGCAGAGUGAAGGAAUCUUGAGACGCGAGCCGCCCGCAGCGAGGGUGAUAGCUGGGGGCCCAACGUUGGCCGGAGAUUCGAACAGAUCGAGAAAAAAUUAUGCCAGAUACGCCAUGACCAGUAAAGAGAUACUCUUCAACACCCCAGCAGCCAAACGAGCAAGGGUCAGGCAAGUGCCAAUCAUGUGGACGGAUGAGGAUGAGGAAGGGAUUCUAUACCCCCACGAGGACGCUUUAGUCAUCAAGGCUACGAUCGCUAGCAAGAAGUUUGACCGGAUACUGGUUGAUACGGGGAGCUCAGUUGAUGUGCUAUUUAAAUCAACUUUGGAAGAAAUGGGAAUAGCCGACCGGAAGUUGGAAUACACCAACACCUCCUUGAAGGGGUUCGGAGGAGGGAAGCUGGUCCCUCUGGGCGUGGUCGAACUGCCUAUCACAAUCGGGGGCCCCCCGACAGAAAGAACAAUGAUACUGGACUUCGUCGUAGUGGACGAGGAAGGUCCUUACCAGAUGAUCCUAGGUCGGCCAUUUUUAAGGAUGAGCAAAGCGGUGCUGUCCAACCAUUAUCUGGCUCUGAAGUACCGGGUGAAUGGGGUAGUCGGAGUGGUACGAGGAGACCAGAGGAUCGCAAGAAGCUGCUACUCCUCGGCAGCAAGGGAGGCGAUGCAGAUAACAUCCCUCGAUACCCGAGUGGAAAACAAGACUGGCAGACAAGAACCCGUAGAGGAUCUGGAAACAGUAAGCAUGGGACCAGAGAACCCGGGAAAGACGAUCAGAAUCGGGUCGAGACUUGAGGGAGAGCAAAAGCAGGAGUUGGUGAAAUGCUUACAGGCUCACGCCGACGUGUUUGCCUGGACACAUGAGGACAUGCCAGGGAUUGACCCAGAGGUAGCAUGUCAUAGGCUGGCAAUAAAGAAAGGUGCUCGGGCAGUAAGGCAGAAGAGGAGGUGCUUCAACCAGGAGAGGUAUGAGGCUGUAAAUGAUGAGGUGGAGAAGCUUCUGAGAGCAUGGUUCAUUCGGGAAGUCAAUUACCCAGAGUGGAUAUCAAAUGUGGUGUUGGUAAAGAAGGCAAACGGCAAGUGGAGGAUGUGUGUGGAUUUCACAGACCUCAAUAAGGCGUGCCCAAAAGACAGCUUCCCUUUACCAAAGAUCGAUCAGCUAGUAGAUUCAACGGCUGGACAUGGUCUGCUUAGCUUCAUGGACGCAUUCUCGGGAUACAACCAGAUCCCCAUGUACGAGCCGGAUGAGGAGAGCACGGCUUUCAUCACUAACCAAGGUCUGUUCUGUUACAGGGUGAUGCCAUUCGGUCUCAAGAAUGCUGGGGCCACCUAUCAAAGGCUGGUGAAUAAAGUCUUUAAGCCCUUGAUCGGGAAAACCAUGGAGGUGUACGUGGACGACAUGAUCACCAAGUCCAAAAUCCCGAAGGAACAUGUCAGACAUCUCGAAGAGACGUUCGAGCUUUUGAGGAAGUAUAAGAUGAAGCUUAACCCGGAGAAGUGUGCUUUUGGGGUCGAGUCAGGGAAAUUCCUGGGAUUCAUGGUGAGCCAUAGGGGGAUUGAAGCAAAUCCCGAGAAGAUCCAGGCGAUUGUGCAAAUGACGUCUCCUCGAAACCUGAAGGAGAUGCAGAGCCUCACGGGGAGGCUGGCGGCGUUGAGCAGAUUCAUAUCCAAGGCUACAGAUAAGUGUCAGCCAUUCUUUCAAGUGAUAAGGAGGGGAAAGAAAACGGAAUGGACCCCAGAAUGCGAGGAAGCCUUCCGGAACUUGAAGCAUUACUUACAGCAAGCCCCGCUACUGUCCACACCGAGGGAUGGGGACAAGUUGAAUCUGUAUUUGGCGGUAUCUGAUCGGGCCGCCAGUUCCGUUCUAGUGAGGGAGGAAGAAGGAAUUCAGUAUCCGAUAUACUACACCAGCAAGGCCCUGCUCGACGCUGAGACCAGAUACCCAACGACGGAGAAAUGGGCACUGGCCCUUGUGGUUGCUGCUCGGAAGUUGAGGCCGUACUUUCAAGCAUUCCCGGUCUCGGUAAUCACCAACCAGCCAUUGCGUCAAAUUCUGCACAAGCCGGAUGCCUCUGGUCGGCUCGUCAAAUGGGCUGUAGAGCUGAGCGAAUUCGACUUAGACUAUAAACCCCGCGCGGCGAUAAAGGCCCAGGCAAUGGCCGAUUUCGUAGCUGAGUUCGCGGAGCCCGAAGUAUGCUUGGGUCAGCAAGAUGCAGAUGUAGGCAACGGCGAAACUCAAGUAUGGCAGAUAUCUGUGGAUGGGUCAUCAGGAGAGCGGGGUUCAGGAGCAGGGAUUGUCCUGGAAGGCCCAGAGGGGGAGGAGAUCUCUUAUGCUGUAAAGUUGGAAUUUGCAGCCACAAAUAACCAGGCAGAAUAUGAAGCCUUGAUAGCAGGGCUGGAAUUGGCUAGGGCCGUGAAAGCAGACAGAGUUAAGAUCAGAACCGAUUCCCAGCUGGUUGCGAAUCAUGUCAGUGAAAGAUUCCAACCAAGAGAGGAGAAGAUGGAACAGUACCUAAGGAUAGUCAGGCAGAUGAUGGGGAAGUUCGAAGCAGUGGAGGUGAUACAAAUCCCCAGGGAGCAGAAUAGUCGAGCAGACAUUUUGGCUAGGAUGGCAGCCGUCGCCGACCCAAAAAUGCCAAAGUCGGUCCCCCUAGAAGUGAAGUCUCGCCCGAGUAUCGAGCAAAAUUUGGGGGUGUUGCGGAUAGAACAAAAAAGCUCGUGGAGGGACCCGAUAGUUUCAUACCUUAGAGACGGGGUCUUACCACCAGAUAAGCUACGGGCUCGGAAGAUUAGAGCUCAGGCCUCGAGAUACACGAUGAUCGAUGGGGUACUGUAUCGACGAGGAUAUACAUUACCGUUCCUUCGGUGUUUGGACGAUGACGACGCGGAUUACGUGCUGAGGGAAGUGCAUGAAGGAAUUUGCGGAAAUCAUUCUGGCGGGAGGUCCCUGGCCUACAAGGUUCUAAGGCAGGGAUAUUUCUGGCCGACGAUGCACCAGGAUGCGCAAAGGAAGACCAGGAGCUGUGCAAGCUGCCAGAGUUUUGCAAAUUUCUCUAACCAACCACCAGAGAAGCUCACCUCCAUGGCCUCCCCUUGGCCAUUCGCUCAAUGGGGAAUUGAUCUAAUCGGCCCAUUGCCAAAGGGACGAGGAGCAGCAACACAUGCGAUAGUCGCUAUAGAUUACUUCACGAAGUGGAUAGAGGUAGAAGCCCUUAGCAGGAUCACAGAGAAGAAAACAACAGACUUCGUGUGGAGAAACCUGGUCUGUCGAUACGGGAUCCCAUAUGCCUUGGUAACGGAUAAUGGCAGGCAGUUCGAUAAUCACAGCUUCAGGGAUUUCUGCCAGAACCUCGGAAUAGAGCUGAAGUAUUGCUCGCCUGCUCACCCUCAAUCGAAUGGACAAGUAGAAGCAGCCAACAAGACAGUCAAGAGGCUUCUGAAAACCAGGCUCGGAGCAAAAAAGGGUGCGUGGGUUGACGAGCUGUCAGGUGUGCUAUGGGCAUACAGAACAACCCACAAAACCGCAACGGGGGAGACACCGUUCGCUUUGGCUUUCGGACAUGAAGCGGUCGUGCCGGCUGAGGUAGGAACGACCACACACCGGACAGAUCAUUUCAAUGAACAGGAGAACGACGAGCAGAUAUGUUUGAAUCUUGAUCUGCUAAUGGAGAGGAGGGAACAAGCAGCCGAGCGAUCAGUCACUUACCAACAGAGGGUUGCUCGGUAUUAUAACCAGAAGGUGAACAUACGGCAAUUCAGGGUCGGAGACUGGGUACUGAGAAGAGUGAAUCAGAGCACCAAAGAUUCGACUCAAGGAGUGCUGGGACCGAAUUGGGAAGGGCCGUAUAGAGUCAAGCAGAUAGCGGGGCCCGGAGCUUACAAGCUGGUUUGCGCGGACGGCCACGAAGUGAAACGCCCAUGGAACGCAGCACACCUCCGAAAAUACUUCCAGUAAGACUUGCUCACAUUUUAAAGCAAUUUCUGCUCAUGCUGUCUAUCUUUUAUUUUUAUGUUUUAUGUCCGAACAAUUUCAUAUAAGUCAAAUCCUGCCAUUAAUGUAACGUCGACGAAUUUUAUUCGCUUGAAACCGAAAAAAAUCCUGAGGCAUGCAAAGGCUCGCCAAGUCUCAGAGCCUGUCUUAUGGCGAGACAGAAGCCAAGCAUGCCAGGAUCUGCUCGGCCACGAGAAGGCAGCAGAAUCCAAAUCGUUUGAAGAAAAUCCUGAGGCAUGCAAAGGCUCGCCAAGUCUCAGAGCCUGUCUUAUGGCGAGACAGAAGCCAAGCAUGCCAGGAUCUGCUCGGCCACGAGAAGACAGCAGAAUCCAAAUCGUUUGAAGAAAAUCCUGAGGCAUGCAAAGGCUCGCCAAGUCUCAGAGCCUGUCUUAUGGCGAGACAGAAGCCAAGCAUGCCAGGAUCUGCUCGGCCACGAGAAGGCAGCAGAAUCCAAAUCGUUUGAAGAAAAUCCUAAGGCAUGCAAAGGCUCGCCAAGUCUCAGAGCCUGUCUUAUGGCGAGACAGAAGCCAAGCAUGCCAGGAUCUGCUCGGCCACGAGAAGGCAGCAGAAUCCAAAUCGUUUGAAGAAAAUCCUGAGGCAUGCAAAGGCUCGCCAAGUCUCAGAGCCUGUCUUAUGGCGAGACAGAAGCCAAGCAUGCCAGGAUCUGCUCGGCCACGAGAAGGCAGCAGAAUCCAAAUCGUUUGAAGAAAAUCCUAAGGCAUGCAAAGGCUCGCCAAGUCUCAGAGCCUGUCUUAUGGCGAGACAGAAGCCAAGCAUGCCAGGAUCUGCUCGGCCACGAGAAGGCAGCAGAGUCCAAAUCGUUUGAAGAAAACCCAAGGCACGCAAAGGCUCACCGAGUCUCAAAGCCUGUCUUAUGGCGAGACAGAAGCCAAGCGUGCCAGGAUCUGCUCGGCCACGAGAAGGCAGCAGAAUCCCAAUCCUCGAAAAACCCAAGGCACGCAAAGGCUCACCGAGUCUCAAAACCUGUCUUAUGGCGAGACAAAAGCCAAGCAUGGCGGGAUCUGCUCGACCGCGUAAAGGCGAGCAGAAUCCCGAACAACGGAAAAUUUUCUAAGGCAGGUGGCGAAACCAUAUACCAAGCCAUAGCCAGCUCGACCAGACGAGGACGAGCAGGCUCUCGUAAUUACCACACAAGAGAGUAAUCAAAAACAUUUCUAUUAAUUUGUUAAUAAUUAACAAAGCAGAUAAUCUUCACAAACAUUGUUCAUUACAAUACAAGAAACAUAUCAGGAAGGUCGUGGAUCAGUAAGCCCAGCAGCGUCGGUUGGCUGGACCUCCUCAGGUGCAGGAGGAGUAUCACCAGUCGCAUCCAGAGGGGCGCUCGCCUCGCCAACAUCAGCAGGGACUGCACGAGGAGGAGAGUCUCCCUCCUCAAUCACGAUCGGCUCUGCCCCUUCGGCAUCUUCCUUGGCCGCCUCCUCGUCCAUAUGUUGAGCAACACCAGCUGCAAGGUCAUCCAUCUUCAGAUCAGGGUGUUGCUUCCCGAGGACGGCCAUGAUACAACGAUAGGAAUGCCAAAGUCCCUGGUCGUACUGGUUGUCGGCCUCCCUCUCCAAGUUCUCUAUAUGAGCUCGGUGGGAAUCGCGGAGAGAUUCGAGCUGAGCCUCAUACAUAGCCCUCUGCCCUUGGAGAUCCUCCUUAACCUUGGUCAGCUCCUCCUCGAGGGUAAUGGCUUUUGCUUGAGCAAGGGACUCUUGCUCUAUCAGCUUGAGGUUCUCAACGUUUAGCUCCCCCGCUUUUUUCUCGGCAACGUCAGCUUUGGUCGUCGCCGAUUGAAUGUCCUCCUUCAUCUUCCUGUCGUAACGGCCAACCUUGGCCUUAUAGUAGGUGGCCAUGCAGCUGAGAUGGAAAGCACUAUACUGCAUGGCUCCCACCAGCUCGCCCAGGGUACAACCGUCGAAGCCCUCCAGGUCCUUCUUGCUCACGAGUUUAGACAACUCAUUGAGAUAGGGAACCAAGUGUUCUGGUCAGCUGUCGGGUAAGCGAGACCGAGGCACAACAGGUGGAGAAGAGGAAGCAGGAUCAGUGGCUGCUCUACUGGAUUCCCCGACUUUAGCAGAGGCAGGAGGGAGAGCCUGCAAGGGAGGAACCUGCUGCACGAUGUUCUUUCGCUUCGCAGCGGGAGCAUCUUUGUCCUGGUCCCUAUCGGUUGUUGGAGGCCGAGAGCGUUUCCUGGUCAGAGCUCCAAUCACUGCGUCCUCCAUCUUAUGGCCAGGAAGUAUCAACCGAGACUCGAGGAAGUUGUAUGUAGAUAGCAGUUCUCGGCUCGAGCAGGAAUUGGCCAAUACAGCCUCGACCCGUUUAAGCUGACCAGGUCGGAGCGGGAAGUGAACACCCCAGGAAACUACAGCACAAACAGACACUUGGUUAGAGACAAACCAAUACAGCAGGAACAAUUAUGGAUACAAGACAUCUAAAGCGAGCAGGCAACCUGGGACCGUGAAACGGGGUGGGACGCGACAAUCCUUCCCGUCUAUUUGUGCAACUUGACCCCAGGGACCCCCAGCAAAAAAGAAUUUCCUCUUCCAAGUCCCACCACCACCAGUUGGAAGAUCAGUUAUGGGUUUCCUGCUCUUGGUACCAGAUUGGAAGUAGUACCAGCCGGCAUCUUUAGGGCUGCUCUUCAGCUGGUACAGGUGCUUCACCUCAUCAACCGUGGGCUCGCUUUGGCAACAUCUGUCCCACAAUAUGAACAGACCAGAGAGCACUCUCCACCCGUUGGGGUUCAGCUGACCAGGAGCCAGAUUUAGCCCGUUAAGUAUCCGGGCAAAGUAAGGCUGCAAGGGACACCUCAGCCCAUACUUAAAGCUCUCCAGAUACAGGGUAACGUAUCCCCUGGGAGGCCGGCUAGGUGUAUCCUUCUUUCCUGGGAUCUUAAGAGGUAUCUCACCAGGAAUACUAUACCUAAGUCGGAGGUCAUUGAGCUCGUCAAACGUGGUCGUACACGACAUGUAAUCAAUGGCAUAAUCACGGGACAAGGCUCUACCUCCUACUGUACCCCGUUCUUCUGGUCGUGAUGCUCCUGGUGGGGACGCCUCACCAGAAUCAUCCCCUUGACCCUCACUCAAGGUGUUCUCCGAUCCAGAAGAUCCUUCUUCAUCGCUACUGUCGCUCGAGGAGGUUGUUUGGGGAGACAUCCUCCUAGCGCUAGUACCAACACUAGACCUAAUGGGCUCUAAGGGGAUCCCGGGAUCAAAAGCAAAAUCAGCGGGCAGACUAGGCAAAAAACCUAGUUCGUCGUCACCAACCUCAACGACCUUCUCCUUACCCUUCGACAUAUCCUAAGUUCUAACCAAAACACCACCGCCAACUACAACCUCAAGCAAAGCAGAGAGAAAGGAAAUUACCUACAACUAACCAAUACCGAAAAAAAUAGAAGAAAUACCUGAAGCAGGGACUCGGUCAGAGAGAGACAGGGAUGACAGCUUUGGCGCCGAGGUUCAUUCGCCGGAAAGACAAGAAUGGAGAAAAUGACGAGUUCGUGUUUGAAGAUUUUGGGUUUCCUUACUGAGAAGCAAACUCUUGGGCUGCCAGCAUUUAAUGACGCAUAUUCCGAGAAUCCCGUAACCGUCGGUUUGAAAUUCAAAUGGAGGGGGGGAUUUCUGCCACGUCACCUCGUCCGCAAUUAAAUGCGACAUGACUCCUGGCAGCCUUUUCCAAACCCACGCGAGCGAGUACUAUCGAGUUUCUACUGCUGGUCCACUACAUUACCCAACACCAGAAACUGGGGGACCGGUGUUUGGGAGGGAUACUGUUUGGGACAAAUGCGUCGAAGGGACCAGGAAUGACGAGCAGACAUCUGAUGGCGGAGUUCUGCGAACCGGUGUGUUCCGUUAAAGCCUGGCGCGUGGAAGAACAGGAGCAGAAACAUCCUGCUCGUCCACGAUGUUGUCGUCCGCGAGGCCAAUUCCUAUAAAAGGCAUGAGGCCAUUCCGGCUAGAGAUCGAGAGGCGAGGAGACCCGGUCGACGGCAGUUGGCAAGACGUGCUCUCCAGCACGAGAAUCUAGGCACAACAGCCACGCUUUCCCCUGAACCGUGGCGUAACACGCUAGAUCCCAUGUUUUGCCCAUAACGCAGCAGUUGAAGUCCCAUACCGUCUCGAAAAGAGCGGAAGACUGAGAUUCAGAGGAAGCCUAUAAAAAGGUAGCCAACGAAGCAGUUGGAGUCCCAUACCGUCUCGAAAAGAGCGGAAGACUGUGAUUCAGAGGAAGCCUAUAAAAAGGUAGCCAACGAAGGUAAAAGGGUUGGCAUUCUUGAGAAAAGGGGAGAAAACCACAAGAAACGCCAUAAGACCUGUGGCAAGCUUUUCCCGAACCUUCAUAUCUGACUUGAGCGUCGGAGGGUUUGCGCCGGGAAAACAACCGGCGUACUCUGACUUAUCUGUGUACGCAGGGACCUCUGGAGAAGAAGCCUGGCGAGGAGACCUCCUGGUCGUGACGAAGUUGAUCGAGCAGAGAUCCUGAUCGUAGAACGAGGAGAACCGGAAUCUCGCAUCAACAGGCUGCAUAUGAUCCUGUUCGUGCAUGAGUUAUGAAUAGCUUGAUGAGAAAUGAACAAAUAUAUAUACUGAAUAAUUAAAGAGAAGAAGCACACAUAGUUUUGCAAGGUAACUAUAUAUAUGAUGAUAAUGACCUGAGAAGCAGCAGCUGCAAGAUAUGGCUAUGAAGAUCAAAAUGGACAUGAUGAAUGAAUUUAGUUUUGGCAAAACUGCCUGUGUCAUAAUGAUUAAGAAGCUGUAACCUCUAAGCAAUAAGAAAUAUCUGCUAGUUGAUGAUGAAGUUUAUAUAAACGGAUAAUUUUAUGAAACUCAUAGUAUUGGCAUAAUCUACAUUUAUAUAUACACACACACACACUAAUUUAUGCGUACUAUUUACCUUCCUACUGUUUUUAUAACAGUCAAUAAUCUCCAUAAUAGCAUAAUUUUACAAUAUUACCUUAUUUUCAAUAACAUUUUUAUUCAUAUUUAUUAUAAAUUAAAUAAAUCACGUGAAUCCUAAUUAAAAUUAAAAAAUCACAUGAAUCAUAAUCAAAAUUAAAAAAAUUAAGUAUUAAAAAUAAGAAAUAUAUGUUUUAAUGUGAAAAAAUUAAUCAUAAAAAUAUUUUUUUAUUUUUUUAUUUAAUAAUAAAAUAAGAAAUAUAUGUUUUGUUUAUUAGCUGAUAAUUGUGUCCUUAUCUGGCCAAAAAUGUUAUGAUCUUAAUUUAUUGCUCACUAGUUAAGUUACUGUUGGGAGUACAAUGAGUGCAGUACUUGCCCAGAUUCUGUAAUUUUAGUUGUGUAACACCUCGCAUUGUCCUCUUAAUUCCUGUUUAGUAGGGUUAUCAAAAUUCUUAAUUAGUAAAUCCAAUGUGGGUUGGGGAAAGAACAUGAAACACUAGUAGAAACUAAUAUAAUUGGUAGUUUGAGAUAGGAGUGGGCAUAUGCCGUUAUUAAAAAAGAAUAUCAAUGGGGCAAUUGCAUGGUAUUCAUAUUGUGAAUUGAGAGUGGGUAAUUUGAACUAGAUUGUUUUAAAAAUCUAGAACGGUGGUAUUUUUGACCCAUUAAAUUUAUUUUUUUGUCCCUACUUUUAAAUAAUUUAAUUUAUUUUUAAAACUACUAUAAUUAAAUUGAUCAGCAAUCUGAUCAGUGGAGAUGGAUCAUCCACAAAUUUUCAAUCUGAUUAGUGGAUAUUGAACUCAAAAGCCUUUAACUGAACGCACCAAUCCCUUCGUGAGAGAGGGCGAUAGGUGGCAAAAGAAAGAAAAAAGAAUAUUGUUUUUAUUUAUUUUUUACAUAUUUUUCUUAAUAAAGUUAAUUUCAUAAACUAAAUUAAUUGAACAAUAGAAACGGUUAAGAUAAGAUACAUUGAGAAAUGAGAGGUCAAAUCACCACUCAAAAAAUUAAAAAAAUUAUUUGGAUGGUUUUGUUUUGGAUUUUUAUUGAGGAUAAUGGGUUUGUACUUGGGAGUCCCUUUUACUCAUAAUAAAGAUGUGUUAUUUAAUAACACAGCUACACCUGAUUAACACUUGGUUUAUUUUAUCUCAUGUGGCAUCCUUUCUCACGCAUGUCAUGAUACGUGCGGUGUACAAAGUUUAUAUGUCUCUUUUCUCUGCAUAGGACAUGUUUUCUUUUGCCUUUUAUAUCUCUCUUUUCGUCUAUUAAAAUGACAAACACGAUUUGAUCAAACCAGGAUCAGAAUUUUCUAAUUUAAUUACACUAAUUUUAAAUAAAUGAGCAAAAAAACUUAUUUUUCCAAAAACUCGUCGUAACUUACUUAAGAAGUUAUUGUAUAUAAUUUUUCAAAGUUAAGGAAACAAAAUCGAAGCCUGAGCGCAAAAUCAAUUCCCGCAGAAGUUUCACUAAGAAGUUGUCAGGGACCUCGGGUUUGGAUAAAUCCCUCCACACACAAUGCAAUUCUGAGAUGAGAAAAUGUUGUUAAUAAUAGGAUUAAAAAGCCAAUUAAAAAGCUUGAAAAUAUAGAGAAGAGAGGAAUGGUUUGUGGUACACUUUGAACGUUAUUGUGGUAAUUUUUAAUAAUGGACAAAAAGUGCUUCCUUUCAAUGGCUUAAUUAAUUUUCUGCCUUGGCAAUCCCUACAGGAUCAUGUUCAUGUAUGCGGUAACUUAAUUAAUUUGCCUCUAAAUGCCUUGGCAAUGUCAUUUUUACUUUUGGCUCUAAAUGGCAAAUCCGUAAUUAGCACUCUUCUAUUUCAUUUCCAUAGGUGCAUGGUCCAUGCAUUUUAUAACACCUAGUCAAAUAGAAAGAUGAAAAAAGGAAGAAACUUAAACCAAGUUUUUGGAUAUGAAAAUAGAUAUCGAAAAUAAACUUAUUGUUGUUAUAUUCAAAUAUUGUACUUUAAUAAUUGUUAGUAAUACAAUUAUUAGAGUACAAUAUUUGAGUAAAGAAUCUCACAUUCUGCAUAAAAAAUAAAUUUUCCAAACACACUUAUCUCACUUCUCUCAAAAGCUUAGAAAUUUAUAAGUUUAAUAAAUUUUGGGAUGCUUAGAAUGGAAGAAGUGUCAUCUAUUUAUAGGAAAAAUAAUGGCACUAUUACACCAACCCCUCUACUAUUCCACUUAACCUAAACAAAUUGUCAAUGGUGUCCAUUUGACAAAUUUGACAAAUUUGCCCACUUUUCAUUUUUUCUUCAAUUAUUUGGUAGCCUUUUAAAAAAUUUGCAUGCUUUCUUGAAAUUUGGAUGCCACAUGCAUGACCAAUUCUAACUUUUUAAAAAUUCUCUACCUUAGCGAAAUUUUGUCCAAAUCUAAGCCGAUUACCAACAAACCAUCAUCCUCAAAAGUGGCUGCAUCUCUGUGAUUGCCUACGUACCCAAAAUUUGAGAUCAAACCAGCCUUAUAUAUUCUUUUUUUUNNNNNNNNNNNNNNNNNNNNNNNNNNNNNNNNNNNNNNNNNNNNNNNNNNNNNNNNNNNCCUUUAUUAACAUAUCUGAUGGGUUAUCCUUGGUAUCGAUCUUUUUCAAUAACACAUCACUGCCCUCGAUAACUUCUCUCACAAAAUGAUAUUUCACAUCAAUGUGUUUUGUUCGAGCGUGAUAUGUUGGAUUUUUCGUGAGGAAUAUCGCAUUUUGGUUAUCACAAAAGACCUCAAUGUUCUCUUGGAUCAUUCCCAAAUCACUCAACAAGUCUUUCAACCAAAUAGCUUCUUUUAGAACAAUUGUCGAUUAUAGAAUCGACUUCCACCCAAUAUGAAUACAUAGGUGNNNNNNNNNNNNNNNNNNNNNNNNNNNNNNNNNNNNNNNNNNNNNNNNNNNNNNNNNNNNNNNNNNNNNNNNNNNNNNNNNNNNNNNNNNNNNNNNNNNNNNNNNNNNNNNNNNNNNNNNNNNNNNNNNNNNNNNNNNNNNNNNNNNNNNNNNNNNNNNNNNNNNNNNNNNNNNNNNNNNNNNNNNNNNNNNNNNNNNNNNNNNNNNNNNNNNNNNNNNNNNNNNNAAGACUACCCACAACACUAGCAUAUGGAACACAAGCCAUGUAAUCAUGCUCCUCUUGAGAUGUAGGGCAUAAAGAAGAGUUUAAUUUGCAAUGAGGAGCUAGAUGUGUACAUACUGGUUUAGUUUUGUCAUUCAUACUGAAUCUUUCUAGCACUUUUUUCAAAUAAGACUUUUGAGUCAACCAUACGCUCAUAUUCUUCUUGUCUUUACAAAUUUCAUCCCAAGUAUUCUCUGUACAUUACCCAAGUCUUUCAUUUCGAACUCAAAAGCCAGUUGCUUCUUCAGUCUCUCAAUCUCAUCUCUCUUUUUCGAAGCUAUAAGCUUAUCGUCGACAUAGAGUAACAAAUAAAUGAAAGCUCCAUCUAGUAGUAUUCUAAAGUAAACACAAUGACCGUGUUCACUUUUGGUGAAUUUCUGCCAUAGUAUAAAUUGAUCAAAUCUUUUGUACCACUGUCUUGGCGAUUGCUUCAGUCCGUACAAAGAUUUAAUCAACAUACUGUUGGGUAUAAAUACUAAUGCUAUUGGCGUCAAUGUGCAAGUGUACACAACAAGUAAUAAAGUGAUGAGUAUUCAAGAUCGUCUCCACAGGGAUUGAUGUUAUCAGAUUUGCUACAGCAAUCUUAACAGUGUAGAUUUUGUGCUAAAAUAAAAUAAAACAAUUAAUGAAACUAAUAUACUAAUUAAAAUAAAAACAUAAUAAAUAAAAUGCAACAAAGUAAAUUAUCACGUCAAUCUCAAGGAUAAAAUCAAUAGGAAUAUAAAGUAGUUGAGUGAAUAAACUCUCCUAAUGGUCUUGACUAUUUUCUAAUUGUUGGCUCGGUUGCUGCAGUAUCUGCUACAACGCUGGGCAGAAUCUUUAUGCAUCAUUAGCCGUCGCAUGUUGGAUAUUUUAUAUUUAUAUGUAACCUAAUAAUGAUUAAUUGUUAUGCCAACAUAAGAUAUAUCAUUACAUGCUUAGGUUCUAUUUACCCUCCAAGGUGAAUCCCUAUGUCUAGUUCAUCAUUAAUUUUAGAUUAAGCAUGACCCUUUUGGGAUAAGUUAAACUCAAUCCAGGAAACCCAAUCUAAAACUAAGUAUUGUUCUAAUAUGUUCCACUAAGAUAGACCCUUUUGCGGCUCUCUCCUAACUUGUAUCAUUAAAUAAGUGAUCAACCGAAAUAAUAAAUAAAAAUAAAUACUAUAAAAACAAACUGCUACAGCAAACAUGCAACAACACAUAUAUUCAGUCAAUAAACCAUCAAGAUUGUUUAUCACUCAACCACAAAUAAAUUUAGUUCAUGGUUUGCAAAAGAAAAAUAAAGAACAAACUUUCAUCCAUGAAACACAUCCCCAUGAAUAAAUAGAAAACACGAAAAUAAGAGAAGGAUAAGAAAGAUUGAGCUUUGUAAUUUUUCCUCUUGUGUAGCCUUCAAUCUCUCUCUUAAAUCUUGUUUUUCUUUUGUUUCUUUGUGUUUUUCUCCUUGGGUAACGGCUCUCCUUAUUCAUUAUGAUGUGUGCUCCUUUUAUAGUUGAAAAUUAGGAUAAACAGAAAUUUAGGUCACACAUAAGUCAGAUUAGGAAACUGCAGAUCACAAUUCUGCAAGUAUCCUGCACAAAAUUUUUUAUGUCGUUGUUCCAGGAUUGCUACAACAACCACACUAUUCUAGAUUUGUUUCAAUUCGUUUGUAGCCAUAUUCUUCCUCAUUUUUAGAAGCCUAUUGCAUCAGCAUUCCUUCCAUGAAUUAUAAGCUUCUGGAAACCUACAAUUAUGCACACAAUUUGAGCAUGAAUGACUAUAAAUCAAGCAAAAUUUAUUAAGACUAAACUAAAAUGAAUGUUUAUGCAAAAUGUAACAAAAAUGUAAUGAAAAUGCAUUAUUUACUCUCUAAGUGAUCUUGAUUUAAGUCUAGAAUUGCCAUAAUAACUCUCAUUUAAUCGAGUUAUCACUUACAGACAUGAUUCUCCUUUCCAAUAAUUUUGAAACCACAAUGCUGAGUCAUAUAGAUUUCCUCCUCCAAAUCUCCAUAUAAGAACGUCGUUUUAACAUGCAAUUGAGCCGACUCUAACUCAUAUUCUGCAACUAAGGCAAGUAGGAUACGAAUGGAAGUAUGUUUUAUGACUAGAGAGAAAACUUCGUUGUAGUCAAUACCUUCCUUCUGAGUAAAACCUUUUGCCACGAGUCUUACCUUGUAUCAGAGAGUUGAUUGAUUUGGAGAUCCUUACUUCUUGCUGUAGACUCAUUUAUUGCCAAUAACUUUUUUUUCCCUUUGGUAACUCCACAAGUUCCCAAGUCUGGUUUUGAUGGAGAGAUUUAAUCUCUUCCUCCAUGACUAACUUCCACUGAUCACUUUCACUGUUGUGUAAUGCUUCACCGAAAGUGUUGGGGAUGUCAUCAUCAAUAAUUGGAAGUGCAUAAGCUACCAUCCAUUUCUUUAGUAAGUCAUCCGAGUUUCUUUAUCUCUCUUAUUGACCUCCUUGUUGCUAUAGUAUCAUCAUUAUCUAUAUCAUCAGUUAUUUUUUCAUUUUGUGGGACAUCAAAAGAAACAACCUCUUCUUCAACUCUGAGUAUUACCUUUAUAGUUAAACCAUUCUCUAAUGCAGAAUUAACUGGUACAUAUGGAGUUGCAUCAAACUCUACUCGCUGCAAUACUUCUAUGAUCUUGUUCACUACCUGCUGAGAACUUGAAGCUUUCAUCAUUGAAACUUCAUCAAACGUGAUAUCUCUGCUACACAUAAACUUUUUAUCUUCAAGAUCCCAAAGUUUGAAGCCAUUUACUCCACCUUUGAAUCCUACAAAUAUAGCUUUCAUAGCACAAAGAUUUAGUUUACUAUCUAUGACAUGAUAAUAAGCUGGACACCUAAAUAUACGAAGGGAAUCAUAGUCUUGUGCAUACUUUCCAGACCACAUUGUCAUAGGAGUUUUACCUUCAAUUGCAGCAGAAGGUAACUGGUUUAUUAAGUGACUUGCGUAACUCAUAGUUUUAACCUAAAUUUUUUUAUCUAAACUAGUAUUAGACAACAUACAUCGUAUUUUUUCCAGUAAAGUACGAUUCAUAUGCUCAACCAUACCGUUCUAUUGCGGAGUAUGUCUCACCGUGAAAUAUCUUUUAAUACCCUUGUUCUGACAUACUUGUAAGAAUGGAUCAGAAAUAUAUUCACCCCCAUUAUCAGACUGUAAUAUUUUGAUAUUUCUGUCAGUUUGAGUCUCCACUAGUUUUUUCCAUUUCACGAAAAUCUCUAGAACCUCAUCCUUUGAUCGCAUGGUGUACACCCACACACGUCUAGAGAAAUCAUCAACAAAUAUAACAAAAUAAUAGCUUCCACCAAUUGAUGCAAUCUUGGUUGGUCCCCAUACAUCACUGUGAACAUAUUUAAGGAUCUCACGAGUAUCGUGAUUAAAUGUAUCAAACUCGACCAUUGUUUUCUUACCUACUACACAAUGCUCACAGAACUUUAAUUUACAGGUUUUCAUACCUUUUAAGUCCAUGCCUCAUUAGAGUUUGCAAAGGCUUCUAUUCAGCAUGUCCCAAUCGUACAUGCCAUAGCUUGGUGGUGUCACUAUGUGCCUCAACAAUAUUUGUUUCAUCAGUUGUACCUCCCUUCAAAUAUUACAAAUUGUGACGCCGAACUCCUUACAGAAUCACCAUAGCCCCAUACAUAAACUUCAUUGUGCCAUUUUCAAUAAUAAUCUUGUAGCUUUUAGCUUCUAGAGCACGCAUAGAAAUUAGAUUUUUCUUUAAAUUUAGAACAUAUCUAACAUCUUUUAGUUCUCUGAUCAUUCCAUCAAAUAUUUUGGGCCAAAUUGUUCAUAUCCCCAUUGUGUGACAAGGUUGAUCAUUCCCCAUCACAAUUGCACCAGAUUCUAGAUUAUGAAAAUCCGUAAACCAUUCCUUAAUGAAACAUAAAUGAUAGGUUGCUCCAGUACCAAGUAUCAAUUCGCUCGAACUAGCCACGUAUGCUGCAAGAGUAAUACUUAGUGAAUAAUCAGAGUUCUCAUCUUUACGUGUCAUGUUUGCUGCUGCUGGUUUCUUCCUUUCUCAUUUUUUAGCUUUUGGACAAUCUUUCCUCCAUUGACCCUUUUCAUGAUAAAAGUCACACUUAUUUCGAGCUAUAUUUCUGCUUCUUGAUUUGGAUCGAGAAUUCUUUCCACCACGCUUAUUCUUUUUCUCCAUCGCUCUUUCUCUAGUUAACAAAGCUCCAGAUGAUACUCUUUCGGAAUGUUUAUCAUUAUUCUGAAUUUCUAAAAUGGUCAAUGCUGUGCAAACAUCUUUGAAAAUGAUCACGUUUUUCUCAUAUAAUAAGGUAGUCACAAAAUGGCUAUAUUCCUUUGGUAGUGAGUAUAACAUAAUCAUAACCUUGACUUCAUCUUUAAUAUCUUUAUCAAGAUUCUUCAAAUUAAUAAGUAACUUUUUAAAUCUUGAGACAUGAUUGUGCAUUGACACCCCAUGCUUUAUUCGAAAGCCAUAUACUUGGCUUAUUGCAUGAAGGCGAUUUUCAGGACUUUUUAGUAAGUAUUUCUCCUCCAAUAUACGCCACAAAAUCAUCGCACACUCCUCAUCUUUCACCCCAUUUGUCAAACAAGAUCUAAUCUGACCACAUGUUUUUUCAUUCAUACGAUUCCAAAUUUCUUCAUCAUACAAGUGUCUUUUAUUUUUCAAAACAACAUCGAGAUCGAUUUGAGUAAGGGCAUCCAUAACUUCUCUCCUCCACAUGUCGAAGUUGAUUUUCCCAUCAAAUUUUUUAAUAUCGAUCUUUUGACCUCCUAUAACAUGUGCUGAAUAGCGAUUUGACAAAUCUCGCCUCUCACAUAAAGUGUCUCAUAAAAUAAUCUCGGCAGACCUCCUGAAUUCUAGAAUUUUCUCAACAAAAUAUUUUCACUUGAAAAAUAGCCUCUAUGAUGUUAAUGUCGUGUGAAUAAAUGCACCAAAAAAGUUCUCAGAAGAAUGAAAGGGUCAUAACGGUCCCACUUAAAACCCAAACUCCUUAAACUUUUAUCGCUUUGUUGACAGAACUUUCAAUAGACUGUCUCCCAAGUACAAAUGGUCAUCUCCACUGUAUACGUGAACAGUACCGUAUACAUUAACAAAUUUUGGGAUGCUUAGAAUGGAAGAAGUGUCAUCUAUUUAUAGGGAAAACAAUGGUACUAUUGCACCAACCCCUUUACUAUUCUCCCUAACCUAACCUAAGUAAAUUGUCAAUGUUGUCUAUUUGGCAAAUUUAACAAAUUUGCCAACUUUUCAUUUUUUUUCUUCAAUUGUUUGGUAGCCUUUUGAAAAUUUGCAUGUUUUCUUGAAAUUUGGAUGCCACAUGCAUGGCCAAUUAUGACUUUUCAACGUAUAUAUCUUGCCAGGGAUCAUUCUGCGAGAAGGUUACUGGUAACUACAGUGAGUGUUGCAGUAGUUCAUUUUAAUUUCUUGGUUCUUAUCAUUUCUCUCCUUACUUAAAAUAAAAGCAACCAAAAAACCUUUCUAUUUCGUGCCAACAAUCUCUAUUUAUCUUGUACGUGAGUUAAUAACGUUUCUAUUUAAUUUGUUUUUUUGGUAGUUAAGUUUACUUGGACAAAUAUUUCAGUCUUAUAUUUAUGUCCUUGUAGGCUAGGGCUGAUUAGUUUGCAGCAAUUUCUCGACUUGCAAGCUCACAACAUUUUCAAUGAUUCUUAAGAGAGUGGAAACGUUUGAGAGCCAACAAGAAAUUUGGCUUAAAAAAUAUUGGAAGGAAACAUAUACCAAAAUAAAUGGGACCCAUUGUUGUCUAGGUUUUAAGGUAAAAUCACAUACUAAGAAAAUGACGCUUCAAUGUCGCAUUCCAAAAAGCAAUUGAACCACUGCAAAUUUAUCCUCAUUUUUUAGGAAAACAAAAAGACCAAAAGUUGAAUAAAAGACGAAAGAAUUUUAUGCGAAGAACCUCACCCUUUUACACAAAAACAAAACCCGUAAAUUUUCCAUCCUCAGCAGCUCAGCGUAUAUAUUAUAUUUGUUGUGAUUUGUGAUGUGAUGCCUUCUCAGUUUAAUAUAUUUUCAGAAAUUGAAAAAGAGUCAUAUUCUGUUUCUUUUACUGAUAACCUUUUACCUCUCAUUUUAAAUAUGAUCAAAAUUCUUACAAAAUUAAUUAAAGAUCUUGAUCAGAACUAGUUGAAAGAACGUAUUUUGGUGAAAUAUGAAAUCUCUAUUAAAUUAAAGCAAAACUAAAAGCAUCGUAGCUAAUUUAUUUUAUUUUAUAAGUGAUAAAGGAGUGCACAAGAUGCUAGCAAAAUUUAAAAGAAGUAUACGUUCCUUUUCAGAAUAAGUAUACCUGAGAAAAAACACAUAAUAAGUAUACCUAAAGAAUUAUUGAGAGUUAUAGUAAUCUGAGCAACAAAAUGGGUGCUAAUAGUUUAAUAAGAGUUUUAAAUGGGCACUAAUAGUUUAAUAAUUGUUGAACUACUUUGGUUUUGUUAAAUGGGAGACUUCCAAUUUUCCCGUAUUGCCUAUUUUCAAAUACAUUUUCAUUUAUAUUUAUUAUAAAUUAAAUAAGUGAUAUGAAUAGAAACAUUUGGGUGUUUGUAGUGAUAUAUAAAAUUUUAUAUUGAUUCUCAUUAUUGUUUGCUUUACUUGCAUAUUUACUAUUCUUAUUAUUCCUAUAACUAUUAUUACUGUUUCGGAAAUUAAAGCUUCGAUCAAACAUUUAAAUUAACAAACUUUCGUGUGCUUGAACCUUCCUCCAACCUAAUUAAAUAUCUUGGAUUGCUAAUUGCAUAUUAAUUAACUUAUGAGUUGUCUCACUACAUAAUUGAUUUUGAAAUGAUCUUUGACACUCAUACCAUCUUUAAUAUCAGUUAUUAACCAUUAAAAAAAAGUAUUGUAUGCAUGUGGCAACUCAAAACAAUCUAGUACUAGUCUGUGCUCUGGUGCGACCCUUAUGCAGAAUGCAAGCUUCAGGGCUCAAGCUGCGCAUUCUACAAAGAGGUGGCAGUCCUGCAAGCUGCAAUGCAUUUUGUUCAAAGCCAUUGUUUUGAAAACUAGUAGCUUGGGAAAGCUGAAACGUUAAUAAUAAUAUAGUGAAAUAUUUUUAUUAGCGACUCUACAUGCAUUUUAAUAAAUGACAAUCCCACAUAUCGACUGCCAAUAUAUGUGUUCAUUCUCUUUUUGUUUAUGUCAUAAUUUUCUGAGAGAAAAGGAAGGGAAUUUAUAAAUGAUUAUAGCAGAUUCUCGAAAAUACCUAAUCUUUGAAUAAUUAUUAUAUUUUCAUUUUUUGAACUAAAAUCGUUCUGGCUUAUUCUUUGAGUAAACUUGGGUAUAAACUUGUACUUGUAGCGUCUCGGCAUUAGAAAAACCCCUCAGGCCCUUGUUUUCACAGGUAUUCCUGCCAGAUUAUGAGCUUAUCAUUUGUUAUUAUUGUUAACAAGAUCACAUAUACAUUUUCAAUAAUAAUUAUAAAAGAAGGGAUUUAUUUAAUUUUUUUAAGAAUAUAUUAACAUUUGCUGUAAACAUGAAUGAUGGAGUAAAUAAAUUUGGUUACUACGUGAGCAAACUAUUGAAACAUAACAUCAAAUUUGGUGACUAAGUGAGAACCCCCAUUGGAAUUAAAAAAAAAAAGCAAGGAGAUGAAUUUCAAAGAUUAUUCAAGUAAUUACAUGUUAAAUUUAUUUUUAGAAAACUAAAUUAAAUGUCACUAACAUAAAACAUGCUUUUAUCUUGUGUGAUGGUUUUAAUUUUAUCACUUUUUGACCAAAGGUUAACUUUAUUUCGUCAUGUACCAUCCUAUUUUUUUUCUUGCCAAAUUUAGUUUCUUUUACUGAUAACCUUUUUUCUUCUCAUUUUAAAUAUGAUUAAAAUUUCUUGCGAAAUUGAUUAAAGAUCUUCAUCAGAACAAGUUGAAAAAAUGUAUUUUGGUAAAAUAUGGAAUCUUUAUUAAAUUGAAGCAAAACUAAAAGUAUAGUAGCUAAUUUAAUUUAUUUUAUAAGUGUUAAAGGAGUGCACAAGAUGCUAGCAAAAUUUAAAAGAAGUAUACGUUCAUUUUUAGAAUAAGUAUACAAGAGAAAGAACACAUAAUAAGUAUACCUAAAGAAUAACUGAGAGUUAUAGAAAUCUGAGCAACAAAAUGAGUGCUAAUAGUUUAAUAAGAGUUUUAAAGGGGCGUUAAUAGUUUAAUAAGAGCAACAAAAAGGGUUUUAUAAGAGUUUUGAAGGGGAGCUAAUAGUUUAAUAAUUGUUGAACUAUUUUGGUUUUGUUAAAUGGGAGAUUGCAAAUUUGCCCGUAUUGCUUAUUUUCAAAUACAUUUUUAUUUAUAUUCAUUAUAAAUUAAAUAAAUGAUAUAAAUAAAAACACGGUGUUUGUAGUGAUUUUAUAUAAUUUCAUAUUGAUUCUCAUUAUUGUUUGUUUUACUAUCAUACUACAAUUUAAUACGGUGGAUUCGGAUUGGUUUAAAAAUUCAUAUAGAAUUAUUAAGCCUAAUGAGAUUUUCAUGGAGUUGGAGAAAUGUGCUCAACAGAAACCUUGUAGCAUUUUGGUAUUUGAUUUUGGAGAAAAACAACUAGAGUUUUCAAAAAUCACCCGUCAUGCAGUAAUUGACGACAAAGUUAUUUUCAGCCAAAGCAUAAUCUAUGUGAGGGGAGUUAGGUGUUUGGACAUGGGCGAAGUACGAAGUAACAUGUUGCAAGAGAUCGCUUGCCAUAACUCAUUGGACUUUUUGUGUUGGAAUAAGUCGGGGUGACCCGAAAGGUGAAAAGAUACAAUACAACCAAAAUGCCAAUGUGAUGGAGUUCCUCGUGCAAUUGGCGAAACGCAGAGAUGGAGAAGGCAACAACUUUAUGCAGAACUUACCUAUGGUGCUAGUGAACGAAUUUGGCAUGUCUAAGAAGGCCGAUAAGAUAAAUGAGAAGGAAAGAAUUUUUCUAUGAUUAUUAUAACAAGACAGUGUAGUUAUAAUGCAGCAAUUUCCGCAUGUUUAAAAUGUCAAGAAUUUGGAGUAUUAUGUCACUAAAGGGUUGAACAAAAAGGAAGCUAUCGAAAUAGUGAACUUAUUGGUGUCACUGAGAGCUCCCAAAAUGAAAUUAGACUUGGACUACCCCGAGCAAUGGAUAGAGAAAGUGCGCAAUAAAGUGAGAGAGGACGUGAAACGGUUCAAAGAUCAAAUUUGGUUACUAAGUGAGAACCCCCAUUGGAAUUUUUUAAAAAAAGUGAAGGAUAUGUAUUUAAAAAAUUAUCGAAGUAAUUACAUGUUAAAUUUAUUUUUAGAAAACUAAAUUAAAUGUCACUAACAUAUAACAUGCUUACAUCUUGUGUGAUGGUUUUAAUUUUAUUUCUUUUUUACCAAAGGUUAAGUUUAUUUCGUCAUGUAACACCCUAUUUUUUUCUCGCCAAAUUUAGUUUCUUAUACUGAUAACUUUUUUCUUCUCAUUUUAAAUGUGAUCAAAAUUUCUUAAGAAAUUAAUUAAAUAUCUUGAUCAGAACGAGUUUAAAAAACGUAUUUUGGUAAAAUAUGAAAUCUCUAUUAAAUUGAAGCAAAACUAAAAGUAUAGUAGCUAAUUUAAUUUAUUUUAUAAGUGUUAAAGGAGUGUACAAGAUACUAACAAAAUUUAAAAGAAGUAUACGUUCCUUUUCGGAAUAAGUAUACUUGAGAAAAAACACAUAAUAAGUAUACCUAAAGAAUAAUUGAGAGUUAUAGAAAUCUAAGCAACAAAAUGGGUGCUAAUAGUUUAAUAAGAGCAACAUAAGAGGUUUUAUAAGAGUUUUGAAGGGGAGCUAAUUGUUUAAUAAUUGUUGAACUAUUUUGGUUUUGUUAAAUGAGAGAUUACCAAUUUUCCCGUAUUGCCUAUUUUCAAAUACAUUUUUAUUUAUAUUUAUUAUAAAUUAAAUAAGUGAUAUGAAUAGAAACACUUGGGUUUUUGUAGUGAUUAUAUAUAAUUUCAUAUUGAUUCUCAUUAUUGUUUGUUUUACUAUCAUACUACAAUUUAAUACGGUGGAUCCGGAUUGGUUUAAAAAUUCAUAUAGAAUUAUAAAGCCUAGUGAGAUUUUCAUGGAGUUGAGACAUGUGCUCGACAGAAACCUUGUAGCAUUUUGAUUCCGGAGAGAAACACCUGGGGGUUUCAAAAACCACCCGUCAUGUAGUAAUUGACGACGAAGUUAUUUUCAGCCAAAGCAUAAUCUAUGUGAGGGAGUUGGGUGCUUGGACAUGGGCGAAGUACGAAGCAACAUGUUGCAAGAGAUCACUUGCCAUAAGUUGGGGUGACCCGAAAGGUGAAAAGAUACAAUACAACCAAAUUACUAAUGUGAUGGAGUUCCUCAUGCAAUUGGCGAAACGCAUAAUCUAUGUGAGGGUGUUGGGUGCUUGGAAAUGGGCGAAGUACGAAGUAACAUUUUGCAAGAGAUCACUUGUCCACGGGUUUGAUGUACUUUUGCAAGAGAGCACUUGCCAUAAGCCGGGGUUCAAGAGAAGCGAGCCGAUGAUAUAUAAUUGUGUCCUUAGCUGGCCAAAAAUGUUGUGAGCUUAAUCUAUUAUUUAUCAGUUAAGUCACUUACUAUUGGACGGACGAUGAGUGGAGUGCUUGCCCAAAUGUUGUAAUUUUAUUUGUGUAACUCGUCGCAUUGUCCUCCUAAUUUUGUUUAUUAGGGUUAUCAAAACUAUUCUUAAUUUGUAAAUCCAACCGCUUUGGGUUGGGGAGCAGACAUUAAACACAAUAGAUGUAAUUGAUAGUUGGAGAUAAGGGGUGGGUAUUGCGGGAUUUAAAUUUAAUGUUGAGCUUGACUUUUUGUUAUCAUUUUAGGAAUAUAUAUUUGGUAGUUAUUAAAUAAAAAUAUGAAAUUAAUUAAAUCUUAAUUUUAUAUUAUUGUACAAGCACAUGUGAUAGAAGAUUAUGGAGAAUUGAUCAUAGGUGAACUCAACACUAUAUCCAAAUCCAUGCAUUGGUUUAUUUGGGUUGUGUUUUGAAGAUGCAUGUACCUUCACAUAUGUUGAUUGAAUUAUAAAAGAAUUCAGUGGGGCAAUUGCAUAGUAUUCCUAUUAUGAAUUGAGAGGGUACUUUGAACUAGACUCUAUUGAAAAUAUAUAAAACGAUGAUAUUUGAACACACCAAUCCUUUCAUGAGAGAGUGGAUUGUUUUUAGUUUUUAGUAAGGAUAAUUUUUUUAAAUGAUUUAAAUUGAUUGAAAAUAGGAUUGGAGAGCAUGAGGUUGAACAACACCAUUGAAAAGGUUUAAAAUUAUGUGGAUUGGACCAAUCCAAUCCAAUCCAAAUAAAUUUUAUGUUGCAAAAUUAAGUCUCCUUAAUUAAAUAAUAAAAUAAGUCAUUCUGUGAUGUUGUUAUACACCCAAUACAAGAAGUUAGCUAGAGCACAAGCUAAUCAACUCAAACUACACUAUAACCAAAUGAAUCCCAAUACAAGAUAUUAGCUAGAGUGCCAAUUAAUUAAUUCAAACUACAUCAUGAUAACAAAUGAAUCAAUCACCAGCCACGAUUAAUCCCGGCAAUUCAAAAAAUUAUUCACAACUUGUAUUAAUGCUCCUUGAAACAAAGAAACCAAAUGCAGACAGAGUCGGAUGCAGUUUCAGAUAAAUAUUGGACUAAGAAAUGUUAUUAUUAUAUAUUUUACGUCCCAAUAGUGGCAUAGAUAUGUAUGGUUAGAUGCAAUCAACCGUUCACAAAAUUAUAAUUUGAUUAGGAUAAUAUUUUAAUUUUAAUUAUUUAAAAUUCAAAAUUUUUAAUUUUAUUGGUGAUUUAAAAUAUAUAUAUCAAUUAAUUAAAAAUAAAAUUGUCUCCAUUAACCUUGAAUAUUACCUAUUAGUUAUUACGUAAUCAGUCAUUUAUCUACUAAUUUAAAUCAAUGGUGAUGAUUAAAACAUUUAAAUCCAAAGGUUCAUAACAAACUCAUUAUUAAUGAUGAAAAAAUUCAUACAUUAUCAUAGAAAAAUCCUAAAAGUAGUAUGUUUUAGCUACACUAAUUUCUUUCAACCCAAAAUGUUUAAUUACUAAAUGGUGUCAUUUUACCAAAUAAUUAACCAAUAAGCAAUAAGAAGAUGGUGAGAAUGGGCUACAGCUGGACUUUGACAUAUGUUAAAUUAAAUUUUGUAAAUAUAUUGUAUAUAGUACCAAUGAAGAAGAGUAAGAAUUUUGUGCUAUAAGUACAGUAAUUGACAUAAUUACUGCUAUAGUUCUGUAGAAUAUAUUGUAUUGCAUCGUAUUGUUGUAAGGCAAAUUAGUAAACGUCAAGUUACCACAUCAACAAACAAGAUCCUGUAAGCAUUGCCAAGGCAGCAGUAUACCCAUUGAAAGUAAGCACUUUUUGCCCACUACUAUUAAUAAGACUUGUUCCACCUUCGUUAAUGUACCUCCACACAUUGAAGUCCCCUGCGCAAUUAACACAGUUGCUCAAAAUUUAUUAUAAUGAAUAAAAAAAACAAUAUUUCGCUAACCAUAUUGGAAAAAUUAAUUACAUGUAUAUACCCCUUUGGCUGGUGUAGCUGCAACCAGAAUUGAGUGCUUUCCUUAUGUCCUUAACACUUGCCUUGUUGUGGAAAUUGAAGUUCGAUAAUAACUUUUCAACGCAAUCAAGCAUGAGCUGUGUUUCCCCAAAGCAAGGUCCAUUGCAGAAUAAAUCAGCGGCUCCAGGAGGCACAUUUAUGUUUCCACUUUCAUUCAAUCUAUAUUCCUUAUCACAACCGGCUGUAUAAAUCUGUGAAAAACAAAAUCAAGAGAGCAAAUAGCAAUUAAUAAUAUAUUUAAGCAAACUAAAGAACCAGUUUAAGAGAUUAAAUAUCACUCACAAAUCUAUCAUUGAAACAUAAAUAGGCUUUGGCAAGUGCUUCUGCCGGGUUGUCGGCUGCAUAUGAUCCUGUUCAUGCAUGAGUUAUGAAUAGCUUGAUGAGAAAUGAAAAAAAUAUGUAUACUGAAUGACUAAAGAGAAGAAGCACACAUAGUGUUACAAGGUAACCAUACAUAUACACAUAUAUGAUGAUAAUGACCUGAGAAGCAGCAGCAGCAAGAUAUGGCUAUGAAGAUCAAAACGGACAUGAUGAAUGAAUUUGGUUUUGGCAAAACUGAGUGUGUCAUAAUGAUUAAGAAGCUGUAACCCCUAAGCAAUAAGAAAUAUCUGCUAGUGGGUGGUGAAGAUUUAUAUAAAUGAUAACUUUAUGAAACUAAUAGUAUUGGCGUUACGGAUUUGUAGGCAACAAAAGUUGUCCAAGAAAGUACUAAACCACAUGUCACAUGCCUGUUUACAGUGGAAAUUGAGCUGAUUAAACAAUAUUAUCAAGGUUGGUUGAUAGUUUUGAUAUAUGAUUAGCAGCAAAUGGUUGGAGACAGAGAGAGUGAAGUUGGUGUGUGUAAGUCACCAACUUGCACUUGCUUUGAAACUUUAUGACUUUCAUUUCCUUUUCUAAGUGUUGGAAUGGAGAAGCGGAUAAGAGCUUUUGUCUGUCAAAAUGGACGUAAAAAAUAUAAAAAAAAAUUAGUAAUCCGAAUUGG